CCAAAACCCUGAUUCUUUUCCCUUCCAAAUUCCAGCGUUUCUCUCUUGUCCUUCUCGUCUUUGAUUGAUUAUUGGCUCGUCGACUUUGUCUCUUCUCCUUCCCCUUCCAAGGUUUGAGAUUUAUUGUUAUCAAUUAUCAUGUUUUAUUUUAAACACUUUGAUUUUGUCACUGUAUUUCAUUUUAUCUUCUUAAAAUUUUAUAUUUUCCUCCAAAUUGAAAAUUCAUUAUGAAUUGAUUUAGGGACAAGGUUAUUUUUGUUGCAUAUUCUCUUGGCUUUGAAUAUUAUGUUGAGUAUUUUUUUUUUUUUUUUUCAUAUCUAAUUUCAGAUUUUGGAAAAUUUGUUGGAUUUUGUUGUUUGUUCUUCUUCUAUAUGAUAAAGAUUAAAAGCAGGCCAAACAAGCCAGCCAUGUUGCAAUAGAGUUCCUACAAAUACGUUCGUAAGAGUAAUGGCAAUUUGCAAGUCAUGAAUGUUUUAUUUUCCUCAGACAAAGUAUGAUAUUAGUUGUGUUAAACUUGUCCAAAGCACAAAACUUGGUGCCCGAAGCUUGUUCUGUCAUGACUCAUGAUGACUACAUUUGUAUGUUCAGUGUUCAUGAAUAAAUAUAAUCGGUAAUCAAUUUUUUACUCUACGGGGUAUACUUGUCUUCAUUUAUUAUCAACCAGUUUUCUUGUCUUCAUUUAUUCGACAGGGUAUACUUUACAGUGUUCAUGGAAGAAAAGAUUGGCAUUCAAUUCAAAAAGAGAAAAGUUUCCAAUUAUCUUGCUGACCCCCUUUCUAUGGCUUAUAGAAAUUAGCAUUAAUGACUUGGUGGAAUUCAUCAUAUUUUUACUUUUUUUUGAGAUGUUUUGUGUGAUAAUCCAUAAAGAACAUUGAUAUUUUUUCCUUUUUUGAGAAGUUUACUUGGUUAGUGUUAUGUUUUAAUUGUAUUAACAUUUAAUACUCGUCUAACUUUAAUACUUUUAUUUGCUUUUAUUUAGGAUAGAUUGCAAUAGUCAACCUUCAGAAAGUCAUUCAAUAGGUGCCGCACAAUUGAGCCGUGCAAAGACUGACCGUGCAUGAGAAGACUUUUCUUCAACUCGUGAUAUUGACGGUAAAGCACGUUUCACAUGUCUUUGCUGCAACAAUAGCUUUAAAGGUGGUGGAAUUAACAGAAUAAAGUAUCAUCUUGCUGGAAUUAAAAGUCAAAUAUCUCAAUGUAAGAAAGUUCCUUAUGAUGUUCGAUUUAAAUUUCAAGGUAUUCUUAGGGAUUUAUCUAAAAAGAAACAAGAUGCUAAAGAGGCUCAUGAUUGUACGUUUAAGGACAAUUAUAUAGAUUUAGAAACUGGAGGAGAGGAAAUAGAAGAGGUUAUUCAAGAAAUGAAUAUAUCAUUAGAAAAGCAAAGACAAGAAAAAGGGAAGAGGAAAGCAAGUGAAGGUAUUGAAACAUAUUUUGCUCCAAAGACUACUCCUGGAUCUCAACCUAGUUGAAAGAGUGCUUUAGCUGGUAAACAAGCAAUAAAGAGAGCCCAUAUGUCUUGGGCUAGGUGGUUUUAUGAUGUUUGCAUUCCAUUUAAUGCUUUGCAAUCACCUUACUUUCAACUUGCUUUAGAUACCACUGCUGCAAUUAGUCUAGGAUUUAAAGGUCCUUCUCAUAAUGACAUUCGUGUUAAUUUGUUGAGAGAUUACAAGAAAGAAUGCCCAUUGUUUGUUGACACAUAUCGAAGUCAGUGGAUAAAUAAUGGAUGCGCAAUUAUGGCCGAUGGUUGGACAGAUCAAAGACAUAGAACUUUGAUUAAUUUUUUAGUAUAUUGCUCUUCUGGGAUUAUAUUUAUAAAAUCUUAUGAUGCACCGGAUGUAGUGAAAGAUGCUCAAACAUUGUGUAAUUUAUUUUUUGAGAUAGUUGAAUGGGUUGGACCUCGUAAUGUAUUUCAUAUGGUAACUGAUAAUGCAGCAACUAUGUGGCGAUAGGGAAAUUAUUGCAUGACAGAUAUGAUCACAUUUUUUGGUCUUCUUGUGCUGCACAUUGUUUGAAUCUUAUUCUAAAAUAUGUUAGUAGUAUGCCUCACGUACAUUCACUUGCAGUAUGUGCUUUGAAAAUUACAAUAUUUGUGUAUAAUCACACAAUUUUUUUUGUCUUGGUUGAGAAAAGUACCUGAAUGGAGAGAAAUUGUACGUCCAGCUAUGACUCAUUUUGCUACCGUUUUUCUUACAUUGAAAAGCAUUUAUGAUCACAAACAAUCAUCGCAGAGUUUGGCAACAAGUAGGCAUUUUACAAGCCAUAGGCUUUCAAAAAGUGCAAAUGGAAGACUCGUGAGUUCUAUCAUCUUAGAUAACAAAUUUUGGGAGGAUUGCUUGAUGAUUGUGAAAAUUGUGGCUCCUAUUAUAAGAUUGUUACGAAUUGUACAUUCAGAUGAAAAACCUUCAUUGGUUUAUGUAUAUGAUGGCAUGCGUAGGACACGAAAAGGAAUCAAGAAUAUAUUAUUAAGUAAGAAAAGAUUGUACAAACCUUCCAUUGAUAUAAUUAAAGAGCGAUGGGAUAAACAUCUUCGCUACUUAACAUACAUGCAACAACUUAUUUUUUUAAUCCUGCUUUUAUUUAUGAAGAAGGAUUUUGUCAAAAAGUAGAAGUCAUGAAAGGUCUAUUCAAUUUGCUUGAAAUCAAAAGCAUUUGUGGUGAUGAGACAAAAGCAAUGGGGGAGAUAAGGAUGUAUCGAGAACGUGAAUGGAGUUUUGGAAGGCAAUCUGCAUGUAAUACUAAAAAAUCAUUACAA
rnacentral:lncRNA from 1 species